GUGUGGUAGUGCAUGCCUUUAAUACCAGCACUCAGAAGACAGAGGCUGGCAGAUCUCUGACUUUUAGGCCAGCCUGGUCUAUAGAGAAAGUUCAAGGAUAGCCAGGCUUAGGCAGUGAAGAUAACCACCAAAAACAGAAAUCUGGUAAAGAUUUAUAAAUGUUGCUGUGAUCCUGGUGUCUCUUCACAGCAAUUGAAUCCUUAGGACAGUAAGCAUUGGAGAACUUGAAGAAGAUACAUGACAGCCUUCACCCUCAAAGGUUCAGAUUACAUCAGUGGGACCAGUCUGGGGCUAAGAAGUCUGCAUUUUGUUCAGGGGAACAUUUCUUUAAAAUGAACUUUAUCCCCUUUAAAAGAAAUCAGUUGUCUUAAUAAUUUCUUUUCAGGAAAGAAUAAAGAAAUGCUUCUUCUGUUUAUCACCUUAGACUUUAAGAGCACCAGGUGUAUUGACCUCAUAGUAUGUGCUAGAAUUUCUGUUCUCAACACAGAGGAUGCUUGCGUUGUCUUGGGGUUGAAUGUCUAUUGUUCUUGGGGUUGAAUCUAAGGGGAUUAGAGUCCACAACAGGAAGGACACAAUUCAGAAGGUAUGCACAUACACCCAGAGGUGAGUUAGUUACUGUGUUUCAAGCAACAAGAAUGUGUCCAAUCUCUUGUAGUGAUAGAAUGGUCCCUGUCAUCAAAUAGUCUAUAUUUUACUGGGUGAUAGGCAUAUAAAUAUGUGAAUGCAGUAAAAUAUUAUUUGUGUCAUUAUAAGGACAUAUGUAGAAUAUGGGUGGAAACUGUAGUGUCAGCUCUCACUGGGUAGAGAAAACAGUAGGGAAGCUACACAAGAAGGUUGAUGUUUAAUCUGAAAACUCUUCCAGGUGUGUGUUAUUUGCAGGACUAAUAAGAGGGAGAAGAAAUUCCAAGCAGACUGAAAUGGCAGUUGAGCAGAGAAGACCUCCAGAUAAGAUUCCUCGGAUUAGAGUCUUGAAGUUUGGUUGUUAAAGUGCCUGUCCCACAAACAUACAACCUGAGCAAAGGUUCCCAGUACCCAGUAUUUCCUCUCCUUGCCUACCGAGUCUUCCUACAGCAAUCAAGGCCUAAUCUUCUCUGAGGUGAUCCUGUAGCCCAUAGUGGUAGAAAAAUCAGGGGCAACAACAUGAUGAAGUACAGCAUCAUGGUGGAGCUAUUCCCUGGCCUCUGGUUAAAGCCUGAAACCUCUCUUAUUCUUCAUAUAUGCUUGGUUCUGUCUGUCAUCACAACAUUCACAUGGGUGGACACCAUGGUCAACACAUUCAAGCUCUGCCUACAUGCCAUAGGUAGUUGCUCUGGAUAUAGUGAAAAUGUAAGAGCCCUUGAAGCAAUAUGAAGCUACUUGUGAAGGGAGAUCAGGGGACCCACAUACUGACAGGUGGUCAAGAAAAGGGAAUGAAUAAAGGGUGGGUAAUACCCUGUUGUCUUUGUCCAUAAGGAAAGAUGAUAACUAUUAUAUAUUAUUAUGUAAUAAUAUAGAAACUAUUAUAUAUAAUAGCUAAUAUAUAUAUUACUAAGUAGAUCUCAAACUGGAGGCUCUUGUCUAGGCAAUUUGUGCAUAUCAGGAAUUCUUGGUUUAUUUUUUUUAAUUUAAAAUGUUUUAAAUUUAAACAUAUUUUGAUCAUAUU